UUUGUGUCAGCCCCCGCGGUAAUACGUAGGGGGCGAGCGUUACCCGGAUUCACUGGGCGUAAAGGGGGUGUAGGCGGCUCGGUAAGUCGGGUGUGAAAUCCCACGGCUCAACCGUGGAAUUGCGCCCGAAACUGCCGAGCUUGGGGCCGGUAGAGGGAGACGGAACUGCCGGUGUAGGGGUGAAAUCCGUAGAUAUCGGCAGGAACGCCGGUGGGGAAGCCGGUCUCCUGGGCCGCGCCCGACGCUGAGGCCCGAAAGCUAGGGGAGCAAACCGGAUUAGAUACCCGGGUAGUCCUAGCCGUAAACGAUGCCCACUAGGUGUGGGGGAGUAUUCCUCCGUGCUGUAGCUAACGCGUUAAGUGGCCGCCUGUGAGACCCCAAUGGUU
rnacentral:rRNA from 1 species